rnacentral:rRNA from 1 species
UACGUAGGGCGCAAGCGUUGUCCGGAAUUAUUGGGCGUAAAGAGCUCGUAGGCGGCUUGUCGCGUCGUCCGUGAAAACCCAUGGCUCAACUGUGGGCUUGCGGUCGAUACGGGCAGGCUGGAGUUCGGUAGGGGAGACUGGAAUUCCUGGUGUAGCGGUGAAAUGCGCAGAUAUCAGGAGGAACACCGGUGGCGAAGGCGGUUCUCUGGGCAUUACCUGACGCUGAGGAGCGAAAAGUGUGGGGAGCGAACAGG